AAUAUUUUCUUAUGGAAUCAUUUUAAAGUUAAAGGGGUAGUAGUUUAGUGGUGUAUGAUGAAUGGAUGAUUCAAGAUUUUGAUGACAGAUAUUUGCUCAUAGAAUCUUGAUUUGUGUAAAUUCUAGAUGUGUUUCCCAAUUAAUUUGAAAAUUUAGGUAAACUUGGUUUAUGCUUUGGUAUAGUUCUAUUUCUGCUGUUUUGUUGUUUGCUACAUGUCAUUACGUUUUCUGAAUCUAUUAGUACUGCAGGAGUCUAUUUGCUGCAUACCGUUUGUUACCAAUGCACAGUUGUAGCAAAUAAACCUUUGUUAUUACACCUGUUAUACCUUAUUACUGAUUUGAUUGUUUGAUUUCUGUUAUUGUUCUUGGUCUUAUUGUGUUUACUCUGAAGCAACUAGUUUUACCUUAACUUUUGAAAAUAAAGCGAAUCUUUACUCAUUACUCUAGAAGUGAUAAGUGUACUCUCAGAUAUUUUGGCUAAGAUCAACUGUAACAGAGAUGGUGCGAUUUGAUUCUUUUUUUUUAUUUCAUAUUUAUUCAUUUCUCUCAGUCUUACGAGGAGAAAAACACGUGAUUCGAGAAAUUUUUUGAAAAAAUCUACGCUUUUUUAAGGUGAAGUUUGGAAAUAGAACAAUUCCUUCUGUCGUGUAUCCUCGAUUAAUGCAACCUCAGAUGCUAUGUUUUGAUUCUCGAUUCUACUAUUAAGCUAAAGGUUACGCCUAGAGGUUGUGUAUGGAAAUAGAACAAUUCCUUCUGUCGUGUAUCCUCGAUUAAUGCAACCUCAGAUGCUAUGUUUCGAUUCUCGAUUCUAGUAUUAAGCGAAAGGUUAAGUGUAGGAAAAGUUGGAGGUCUGAAGGUUAGGGAACUAGGUCUUUGUAAUAUUUCUUUGUGAGCUUGGUUCGGUAUGGAGAUGGUUGCUAGCUGUUUGUGAUAAGAAAGGGAUAUUUUGGUAGGAAGGACUUAGAUUUAAGACUAUCUACUGUUUUAUUUUGAAGUUGUAGAUGAAAGAGUCUUGUCUUUCAUUUGAAUAGUUCCUGAUAUCUGAUUUACGUUUCUGUAAAAUAAGCUGAGUGAUGAGAUUAAGGACAUGGGUUUAAGAUUAUCUACUUAUUUAUUUUGCGGUCAUUGAUAGAAGUGUCUUCUAUUUCAUUGGAGAAGUCUUUAUCUUGAUGACGUUCCUGUAAGAAUAAGUCUACCAUAAGAGAAGAGGUGCCUCUUACACAAAUUGAUAAUUCCGUUUCAAUAUAGUUGUCUCCAAUUUUACUUCGCCUCAACAGAACAUUGGUUAAGCUGUACAUAAAAUUUGUGAGCUGCAUCGUGCAUGCGUCCU
rnacentral:lncRNA from 1 species